rnacentral:rRNA from 1 species
CCCUUAGAUGUUCUGGGCUGCACGCGUGCUACACUGAUAUUGCCAAUAUGUCAUUCUUAUCCGAAAAGGAUUGGGUAAUCAAGUAAUGAAAUUUCAUGCUUGGAAUCGGUAAUUGCAAUUUUAUCGUGAACGAGGAAUUCCUAGUAAGCACUAGUCAUCAGCUAAUGUUGAUUAUGUCCCUGCCCUUUGUACACACCGCCCGUCGCUACUACUGAUUGAAUGGUCCGGUGAAGCCUCGGGAUUGUGACGAGUUCCCUUCAUUGGGAGUUGGUCGCGAGAACUUGUCUAAACCUUAUCAUUUAGAGGAAGGUGAAGUCGUAACA